rnacentral:lncRNA from 1 species
GAAAAUUCAGUGAAUACCCACUUCACAAAACAACUCGAAGCAGCCAAACAACACAAAGUUUAGAAUUCUAAACAAAUGCAGAGCCCCCAAGGAUAUACCCUCAAGGACAUGAGCCCUAACUCCUUUCUUCGCGGAUGGAUUCCGGCCUUCAAUGGCUGCCUGGGCUCCGAUUAAGAGAUUUUGAAAGCCGCCACUUUGGAUUCCAACAGGAACAACUCCGAUUCAGAGAGAUGGAAGCUCGCCGCAUCGGAUUCCGGCAGGAACGGCGCCGAUUCAGAGAGAUCGAAGUCGCCGCUUCGGAUUUUGGUAGAAACGGCGCCGAUUGAGAGAGAUCAAGCCGCCGCUUCGGAUUUCGGUAGGAACGGCGCCGAUUCAAGAGAUCGAAGCCGCCGCUUUGGAUUCCCGGAGGAAUCGGCUGAGAUUCAGAGAGAGGGAGGCGAGCAGCUUCGGAGUCCGGCGAACCCGGCCCGCUUCGGAUCCCGGAGGAAUCGGCUGAGAUUCAGAGAGAGGGAGGCGAGCAGCUUCGGAGUCCGGCAGCAACCACGGCGCCACUUCGGAGUCCGACGGAAUCGGCUCCGAUUCGCACACAUCCAUCUCCGAGAACGGAGUUUCUUCGACAAUCGUCUCAGAUUCCAUCGAGGAAGACGAAGAACUCAAUUGAGAGAGAU